rnacentral:rRNA from 1 species
UUGGGAAUAUUGGACAAUGGAGGAAACUCUGAUCCAGUGACGCCGCGUGAAGGAAGAAGGUCUUCGGAUUGUAAACUUAUUUUAUCAGGGAAGAAAAAAAUGACUGUACCUGAAGAAAAAGCACCGGCUAACUACGUGCCAGCAGCCGCGGUAAUACGUAGGGUGCAAGCGUUAUCCGGAUUUACUGGGUGUAAAGGGCGAGUAGACGGCGUUGCAAGUCAGAUGUGAAAACCUAGGGCUCAACCGUAGGACUGCAUCUGAAACUGUAAUGCUAGAGUGCAGGAGAGGUAAGUGGAAUUCCUA